GAUGAACGCUGGCGGCGUGCCUAAUACAUGCAAGUCGAGCGAACAGACGAGGAGCUUGCUCCUCUGACGUUAGCGGCGGACGGGUGAGUAACACGUGGAUAACCUACCUAUAAGACUGGGAUAACUUCGGGAAACCGGAGCUAAUACCGGAUAAUAUAUUGAACCGCAUGGUUCAAUAGUGAAAGACGGUUUUGCUGUCACUUAUAGCUGGAUCCGCGCCGCAUUAGCUAGUUGGUAAGGUAACGGCUUACCAAGGCAACGAUGCGUAGCCGACCUGAGAGGGUGAUCGGCCACACUGGAACUGAGACACGGUCCAGACUCCAACGGGAGGCAGCAGUAGGGAAUCUUCCGCAAUGGGCGAAAGCCUGACGGAGCAACGCCGCGUGAGUGAUGAAGGUCUUCGGAUCGUAAAACUCUGUUAUUAGGGAAGAACAAAUGUGUAAGUAACUAUGCACGUCUUGACGGUACCUAAUCAGAAAGCCACGGCUAACUACGUG
rnacentral:rRNA from 1 species